CUCCGGUUGAUCCCGCCGGACCCGACUGCUAUCGGAUUGGGAUUUAGCCAUGUUAGUUGUGCGUUCCUUGGCUACAGGGGACGCAGCAUACGGCUCAGUAACACGUAGUCAACCUGCCCUGGAGACGUGGACAAACCCGGGAAACUGGGGCCUAUCCGCGAUAGAUGACCUCAUCUGGAAGGAGUGGUCGUCCAAAGGGCGGCACGGGUAUGCUCCGUGCCUUUCGCUCCAGGAUGGGACUGCGGCCGAUCAGGCUGUUGGCGGGGUAAUGGCCCACCAAACCUGUAACCGGUACGGGCUUUGAGAGAAGGAGCCCGGAGAUGGACACUGAGACAAGGGUCCAGGCCCUACGGGGCGCAUCAGGCGCGAAAACUUCGCAAUGCGCGAAAGCGUGACGAGGCUAGUCCGAGUGCUUCCUGCUAAAGGGAGCUUUUCUCGGCUGUAAAUAGGCCGGGGAAUAAGGGGAGGGCAAGUCUGGUGUCAGCCGCCGCGGUAAUACCAGCUCCUCGAGUGGUCGGGACGAUUAUUGGGCCUAAAGCACCCGUAGCCUGUUCUGUAAGUCCUCUGUUAAAUCCAGUCGCUCAACGGCUGGCCCGCAGAGGAUACUGCAAGACUAGGAGGCGGGAGAGGCGGACGGUACUCCGCGUGUAGGGGUAAAAUCCUUUGAUCCGCGGAAGACCACCAGUGGCGAAGGCGGUCCGCCAGAACGCGCUCGACGGUGAGGGGUGAAAGCUGGGGGAGCGAACCGGAUUAGAUACCCGGGUAGUCCCAGCCGUAAACGAUGCGAGCUAGAUGAUUCGAUCGCAGUUCGCGAUCGAAGUGUCGCAGGGAAGCCGUUAAGCUCGCCGCCUGGGGAGUACGGUCGCAAGGCUGAAUCGUAGAGCAGAUUUUCUGCCUACG
rnacentral:rRNA from 1 species